UACUAAGACAAUCCGGCAUCGCUACGGAUUAAUUUUUACUACGAAUUGUCGGAAUCUGUAGAAAUUACGCUGACAUUUGACGUAUUCAUUCAACUUUUGUCCAACGGAGCAUUGUUGCGAGUUUUCUGCGACCGUUGGAAGUGUUUGUGGAUUUCGGACAACUUUCGAAUAAUUAUUAGUGUUUAUUGCAAAGAAAACUAUUUAAAGUAGUUUUUAACUAUCUACAAUGGUUCGCCAGUGCAUAGUUUGUUAAAGGUGGACUAUUCUAACUCCUGAUUGAUAUUUGGACGCGUUCCUAUAAAUACUGAGCUUAGACAAUGAUCGAUUUCACUCUUGAAUUUGAAAAAUCAAACUAACGUGUGUCCAAAUUUGUUCUGAUGAUUUUGAUAAGAGCAAUAUUAUGAUCGCCGAAUUAACUGAUCGAAGGCAAAUAAGACCAAAUUCUGAGCCUCAAAUAGAUAGUACCAUUUUUGCUGGGGCUUUAUCAUACAGGUUUUCUUCUAGUUUGUACCGCCACCCAAAAAAUGUUUUAGGUAAAUGAACCUCCAGACCAGCUGAGGGACUAGAGAAGGUCCCUACCUAGUCCCGCGAUUGGCAGUUUGGCUGGCCCCUCAAAUUUGAUUUUGCCUAAAAUCAUACAAGAUAAACUAGCCCUUCUCAAGAAGCCCUUCCCUCAAAACAACAGAAACGGCAUUGGAAAAAGAAGUUGGAAUUAACCAGUAUGUGCUCUUUGUAAGUGUAUUCUGGAUGUUUGACUGACAAGGCUUAAAAGCUCUUGUAUUUUUAACAGAAUGGGAAUAUAGCUGUAUUCAUAACAAACAUAGUAAGACAAUCCUCAUCUUCUGAUCUCUCAAUAGUUGGAUAUUUAUUAUCUCAAGAAAGUCGUCAAAGUAUCAGAAAAAGAAAGAAGUAUGUUAAUGAGGCAUUAUAAUGAUAUUAUGUAGAAAUUUAAGUCUUGUAAAAAUUUGGAAACAAAGAAAAUGAAAAAUACAUACUUUACAAAUAGGUCUUAGAAGAUUGAAAAAUAAAAUAAUAUCAAUGCAUCAGUUAAUUGAUUACUUAAAAGAAAAAUCUUUGAUAAGUGUAUCAACUGAAUUGACCAUUCAGGCUUCCUUAGCUGAACCAGUACAAAAUAUCUUUGAAAGAAUGUUAAAAGGACCUGCCACACAAAAAUCCAAUCUUCUGCUACUAUCCUUUGCUUUAACAUUGUCAUUUUAUUCGCCGAAAACAUAGAAUUUUAUAAGGGAUACAUAAACUGGCCCAGAGUUUUCUUAGGAGGCCUCUAAAUUCCAUUUAGUUUUCAACAAUAUUUUUGAUAUUUUUAACUCUCAGAAUGGAUUUACAAAAUAUUCAUAUAAAAAAAUUAUCAAAAAUAUAAGAACAACAUACUUUUUAAUAAUUUUGAAAUAAUUAAAUUGUAUAUUAUUGGACUUACUUUAAAAGAAAGGUCAACCAUAGUCACAAAGAAAAACGGGAUUUUUGGGCUUUCUAAUUUGUAUGGAAAGCUUACAACGUAUGUAUAAAUACUAUGUAAAAGAAAAUCAAUUAUUGAAAUAUAUUUUGACUAACUGGUGGAGGUCCACGUAUACAAAAAGCAAAAACGGAAGAUAAUAAUAUAUUCAAUCAAUGUAAAAAUGAGAAGAGCAUUGUGGGAUUAAAAAACAUGAUGGUGAUAGAUUGUCUAAAACUAAUAGGAGUACUGGUAUUUCUCAAAACAAAACUGAUGGUUACAAAGAAACAGAAGAAAAGGGAAGAUAUUAAUUUACUAGACAAAAGGCUGUUCUUUUGUAAUAUGGAGAUGGGCAAAAUUCAAAGUAGUAGUAUUCAAAACAGAGAAGAACAUAAGCUAAAGAAAAAAAGGGUUGUUAGACAUUGAAAUAAAAAAAGAACAGUAAAGUUCUCAAAGAGAACUUAUUUAAUAAUUUUAAUUAGUGUUUAUAUUGUAAUGUAAAAAAUGUAAUAUAUGUUAUUUCUGAAUAAAAGACAUUUAAUAAUGA